UACAGAGGGUGCGAGCGUUGUCCGGAAUCACUGGGCGUAAAGGGCGCGUAGGCGGCUUGAUAAGGUUGCGGUGAAAGCCCGGGGCUCAACCCCGGGUCGGCCGUGGCAACUGUCGAGCUGGAGCACUGUAGAGGCAGGUGGAAUUCCGGGUGUAGCGGUGGAAUGCGUAGAGAUCCGGAAGAACACCGGUGGCGAAGGCGGCGCACUGGACCAUAACUGACGCUGAGGCGCGAAAGCUAGGGGAGCAAACAGG
rnacentral:rRNA from 1 species